UGGGGAAUUUUGGACAAUGGGCGCAAGCCUGAUCCAGCCAUGCCGCGUGCGGGAAGAAGGCCUUCGGGUUGUAAACCGCUUUUGUCAGGGAAGAAAUCUUCUGAGUUAAUACCUCGGGAGGAUGACGGUACCUGAAGAAUAAGCACCGGCUAACUACGUGCCAGCAGCCGCGGUAAUACGUAGGGUGCAAGCGUUAAUCGGAAUUACUGGGCGUAAAGCGUGCGCAGGCGGUUUUGUAAGACAGAGGUGAAAUCCCCGGGCUCAACCUGGGAACUGCCUUUGUGACUGCAAGGCUUGAGUGCGGCAGAGGGGGAUGGAAUUCCGCGUGUAGCAGUGAAAUGCGUAGAUAUGCGGAGGAAACACCGAUGGCGAAGGCAACCCCCCUGGGCCUGCACUGACGCUCAUGCACGAAAGCGUGGGGAGCAAACAGGAUUAGAUACCCUGGUAGUCCACGCCCUAAACGAUGUCAACUGGUUGUUGGGAAGGUUCCUUCUCAGUAACGUAGCUAACGCGUGAAGUUGACCGCCUGGGGAGUACGGCCGCAAGGUUGAAACUUAAAUGAAUUGACGGGGUCAUAGC
rnacentral:rRNA from 1 species